rnacentral:rRNA from 1 species
GGCUCAGGAUGAACGCUAGCGGCAGGCUUAACACAUGCAAGUCGAGCGGUAGAGAGGUGCUUGCAUCUCUUGAGAGCGGCGGACGGGUGAGUAAUGCCUAGGAAUCUGCCUAGUGGUGGGGGAUAACGUUCGGAAACGGACGCUAAUACCGCAUACGUCCUACGGGAGAAAGCGGGGGGAUCUUCGGACCUCGCGCCAUUAGAUGAGCCUAGGUCGGAUUAGCUAGUUGGUGAGGUAAUGGCUCACCAAGGCGACGAUCCGUAACUGGUCUGAGAGGAUGAUCAGUCACACUGGAACUGAGACACGGUCCAGACUCCUACGGGAGGCAGCAGUGGGGAAUAUUGGACAAUGGGCGAAAGCCUGAUCCAGCCAUGCCGCGUGUGUGAAGAAGGUCUUCGGAUUGUAAAGCACUUUAAGUUGGGAGGAAGGGUAGUAACCUAAUACGUUGCUACUUUGACGUUACCGACAGAAUAAGCACCGGCUAACUUCGUG